AUUGAACGCUGGCGGCAGGCUUAACACAUGCAAGUCGAGCGAGCGGCGGACGGGUGAGUAAUGUCUGGGAAACUGCCUGAUGGAGGGGGCUAACUACUGGAAACGGUAGCUAAUAACGCAUACCAUCCGUUGUGCCAAGACGGGAUUAGCUAGUAGGUGGGGUAAUGGUGCACCUAGGCGACGAUACCUAGCGGGUCUGAGAGGAUGACCAGCCACACUGGAACUGAGACACGGCCCAGACUCCGACGGGAGGCAGCAGUGGGGAAUAUUGGACAAUGGGCGCAAGUCUGAUGCAGCCAUGCCGCGGGUGGGAAGAAGGCCUUCGGGUUGUAAAGCACUUUCAGCGAGGAGGCGUUACUCGCAGAAGAAGCACCGGCUAACUCCGUGCCAGCCGCCGCGGUAAUAC
rnacentral:rRNA from 1 species